rnacentral:rRNA from 2 species
CCCUUUGGGGUGUGACUGCGUACCUUUUGUAUAAUGGGUCAGCGACUUAUAUUCUGUAGCAAGGUUAACCGAAUAGGGGAGCCGGAGGGAAACCGAGUCUUAAUUGGGCGUUAAGUUGCAGGGUAUAGACCCGAAACCCGGUGAUCUAGCCAUGGGCAGGUUGAAGGUUGGGUAACACUAACUGGAGGACCGAACCGACUAAUGUUGAAAAAUUAGCGGAUGACCUGUGGCUGGGGGUGAAAGGCCAAUCAAACCGGGAGAUAGCUGGUUCUCCCCGAAAGCUAUUUAGGUAGCGCCUCGUGAAUUCAUCUCCGGGGGUAGAGCACUGUUUCGGCUAGGGGGCCAUCCCGGCUUACCAACCCGAUGCAAACUGCGAAUACCGGAGAAUGUUAUCACGGGAGACACACGGCGGGUGCUAACGUCCGUCGUGAAGAGGGAAACAACCCAGACCGCCAGCUAAGGUCCCAAAGUCAUGGUUAAGUGGGAAACGAUGUGGGAAGGCCCAGACAGCCAGGAUGUUGGCUUAGAAGCAGCCAUCAUUUAAAGAAAGCGUAAUAGCUCACUGGUCGAGUCGGCCUGCGCGGAAGAUGUAACGGGGCUAAACCAUGCACCGAAGCUGCGGCAGCGACGCUGAUGCGUUGUUGGGUAGGGGAGCGUUCUGUAAGCCUGCGAAGGUGGCCUGUGAGGGUUGCUGGAGGUAUCAGAAGUGCGAAUGCUGACAUAAGUAACGAUAAAGCGGGUGAAAAGCCCGCUCGCCGGAAGACCAAGGGUUCCUGUCCAACGUUAAUCGGGGCAGGGUGAGUCGACCCCUAAGGCGAGGCCGAAAGGCGUAGUCGAUGGGAAACGGGUUAAUAUUCCCGUACUUGGUGUUACUGCGAAGGGGGGACGGAGAAGGCUAUGUUGGCCGGGCGACGGUU